AACAAGACGAACAGGAGUUUCGGGCGCGAAUCACCGUGACGGCUGGCGACAAAAGCGAGCGCAAGGCAGAAGCUAAUCUGCGAUAAGCGCCGGUAAGGUGAUAUGAACCGUUAUAACCGGCGAUACCCGAAUGGGGAAACCCAGUGUGAUUCGUCACACUAUCAUUAACUGAAUCCAUAGGUUAAUGAGGCGAACCGG
rnacentral:rRNA from 1 species